UAAUUCAUUCCUUUCAAAAAGCUUUCAUUUGAUUUUAGCAAACUUGAGAUUAUCACAGAAUAAAAUGGAAACGUCAGAAAUCCUCCCCUGUUAUAAUUUUCCUGAAAUUUACCGUCUAUAAAUGCAAAAUUUUAUUGCUGUCGGAAUAUAAUGUCAAGGCUGUUCCAGCCUUCAGGAUUGCCUAUUUUAAAGUUUAGAAAUCUCAAGUCAGAAAGUCAACAUGUUUCGUCAACCAAUCAAGUUGGGUCUUCAUCUGUGCCACUGAUAUCAGCUUCCAAGAUAGCUCGAUUGAGACCAUCGACUGUUGCUGUAAGGUUACAUGAAUCUAACGAGUAUGUUGAUAAGAAUAUUCCACUCAGACCUUCAACUGCGAAAACCAAAAUCAUACAUUCAAAAAUCAACGUCAAAGUAACAAAGACCACUGGAGAAGAGAAGAUGUUCAAUAAAAUUGACACAUCUAUUUUUCCUGAAGGGAAUAAUGCACCAACGAAAGCGGGAUCUUCGUUGGCUGUCAGAAAAUCUGCAGCUAUGCCAAACCUCCCACCAUCUUCGCUCAGAAAAGAAGUAUCUCUUCAGAUGAAAAGUAUGCUUUCUAAGGCCCCAAUUGGUGCUAAGGUUACUGGUGUGGGAGCUAAAAGUUCUAAGGUCGCACCAUUAGAAGAAAUCAUGACAUCACAUGGACCACAACAGGUACUUCAGAAGGUAAUAACAGAGAAGAGAGUAGAGAGGACAAAAUAUGGGGAAGUAGUAGCGAAAAAUAUCAGGACGAUUGAAACUGAUCCUGCUACUGGAGAAAACAUUCUCGUUGAAGAGGAGUUCCAGGAGCUAAAUCCAGAAUUUCCACCGUCUAAGGGACUAAUCAAAGAAACUGUUUCUAUCGUAAGCGAAAGAGACAUAACAACUUCCUUCGUCAUGAGUAGGAAAAAUAUAAUUCGGGAGACCAUAAAGUUGACUUUGGACUUAGGCAUGGACAAAAACAGAGUUGAACUUCUUGUCAGAGAGGAAACAGAAGAUGUCUCCAAUAUACUCAAAAAUGUUGCCCCAGAAUUAGUGAAUCAAGAUCCUCGACUGUUUUCUUUGAAGAAACGACAUCAACAGCUCAGUCUUAGUCCGGAAAAUGCUGGAUUAUUGGAAAAAUCAUUCACAUCAUCACCAAUAACUGCUGAUUUACCUACAGUAGAAGCAUCUCCCGAAUUAGUAGCAACAGUAAUGGACGUCUCCAAUAAAAGUGGCUUGUCUACCAUUCCAACAGAAAGGAUAUUCAAUUCAUUGUUCGGUGCUGAACGGGAAAGUAGCCCUUAUGUGAUUUUAAGUUCUGCCUCUCCAGGACCUCUGGAAGACGUGGUAAUACCAACAUUCGUGGAUGAAAAUAUCCACCAGCAAAUUUUGAGCAGACAGAUGGAGCAAGUAUCUGCUUUGGUGCAGCUGACGGAUAAUAAACCUUCUGAAGAUAGUUUUCUGAAAGCUCAACCUUCAAAACCAAGGCGCAAAGGAAGAAGAAAAAGACCGUAUAAGCCUUUAUCAGCUGAGGAUCCACCUUGGAGUAAUGAAGAAAUCCCUUUCCAGCUUUGCUUGUGUCUAUUGAAGCAGUUGGUGCCCGUCCAUCAUAUUCUCUUCAUCCUCCUGAUAUUUUGGACACUGUAUCGAUGGGAAGGUUGAAGAAAGAAACAGCUAAAGGUGUGGAGUACAUUUUGGAUUGUGAGCCACACCAAUACCUCUCAAGAGUGCAACUGAGAGGAUCUCAGCCACCUCCUUGGUUUCCAGGUUAUAUGGUAGCACUGUCGAAUUCUGUGGAAGUAGCAAAGUCUCCUAGUGAAGUUCUGUUGUCUGCUUGGAAAUCUGUACAGCCCGAUGUUUUUUCUGAUGAUUCAGUGAUGUAUAAUUGAGAUAUUAGAUAGUUCAUCUUAAAUGUGAAAAAUGAUGCACGUUAAAUAGACCAAUCAUUUAUUGAAUUUGUAAUAAACAAAACGAUAACCAA